rnacentral:rRNA from 1 species
UACGAAGGGGGCUAGCGUUGCUCGGAAUUACUGGGCGUAAAGCGCACGUAGGCGGCUCUUUAAGUCGGGGGUGAAAUCCUGGAGCUCAACUCCAGAACUGCCUUCGAUACUGGAGAGCUUGAGUUCGGGAGAGGUGAGUGGAACUGCGAGUGUAGAGGUGAAAUUCGUAGAUAUUCGCAAGAACACCAGUGGCGAAGGCGGCUCACUGGCCCGGUACUGACGCUGAGGUGCGAAAGCGUGGGGAGCAAACAGGAUUGAGAA